rnacentral:rRNA from 1 species
CGCGAAUGGCUCAUUACAACAGCCAAAUUUUACUGGAAUAUAGUUAUCUUACUUGGAUAACUGUGGCAAUUCUAGAGCUAAUACAUGCAAAAAAGCUCUGACCGCAAGGAACGAGCGCAUUUAUUAGAAUAAAAACCAAUCGGGUUUCGGCCCGUUUAUUGGUGAAUCUGAAUAACUUUGCCAAUCGCACAGUCCUAGUACUGGCGAUGUAUCCUUCAAAUGUCUGCCUUAUCAACUUUCGAUGGUAGGUUAUACGCCUACCAUGGUAUUAACGGGUAACGGAGAAUAAGGGUUCGACUCCGGAGAGGGAGCCUGAGAAACGGCUACCACAUCCAAGGAAGGCAGCAGGCGCGCAAAUCACCCACUUUCAGAACGAAGAGGUAGUGACGAAAAAUAACGAGACAGUCCUCUUCGAGGUCUGUCAUCGGAAUGGGUACAAUUUAAAUCCUUUAACGAGGAUCUAUUGGAGGGCAAGUCUGGUGCCAGCAGCCGCGGUAAUUCCAGCU